rnacentral:rRNA from 1 species
UACGUAGGGUGCGAGCGUUGUCCGGAAUUAUUGGGCGUAAAGAGCUCGUAGGCGGUCCGGCAAGUCGGAUGUGAAAUCUCCACGCUUAACGUGGAGGGGCCAUUCGAAACUGCCGUGACUCGAGUCCGGUGAGGGGAGUGGUGGAAUUCCCGGUGUAGCGGUGAAAUGCGUAGAGAUGGUGGAGGAACACCGAUGGCGGAAGGGCCAGCCCUUCUGGGCCAACACUGACGCCUCAUGCCACGAAAGCGUGGGGAGCAAACAGG